GCUAGACUGCCUCUCUAGAUUCCUCUUCUCUGGGAAGGGCAUCUCUGAAAGAAAGGCAGCAGCCCUAGUCAGGGGCUUAUAGAUAAAACUCCCAUCUCCCUGGGACAGAGCACCUGGGGGAAGGGGCAGCUGCAGGCACAGUUUCAGCAGACUUAAACGUUCCUCUCUGCCAGCUCUGAAGAGAGCAAUGGAUCUCCCAGCACAGCGCUCAAGCCCUGCUAAGGGACACACUGCCUUCUCAAAUUUGGGAAGUUUUCAGCCAUUUCUUCAAAUAAGCUCUCUGCCACAGGCUACUCUUCGUUGUGCAAUCUGUGGACCCAGUUGUCAUCUGCCACCACUGUCUAGUUAUCUUUUGACUGCCACAAGUGGACUCCAAAAAAUCUCCAAAAGAAAUUGUUACCAUAACAAGAUGGCCAACUAGACACAGCCAGGAAGCACUGCUCCCACUGAGAGACACCAAAAUAUUGAGUACACCAAUGUAUUUUGAGCCCAUCUUCAGAGAGAAAAUGCUGAGAGUCAUUACAGAGGUGAUGCAGACAACAAGGCUGAAGAGGGAGGAAGCUGGAAACCCUGCACAGGAUACUUGCAUGACAGGGCUAGUUCCCAGACCUGAAUGCCUCCUGGGGAAGGGAUAAGUGAAGGGAUGGAGGGACAGGCCACUCUCACUGUGGACCUCUGGGAUCCUAGGUACAUAGAACUUCACAUUCUCCAUGGACAUUUGAGCUGGCAGGGG
rnacentral:lncRNA from 10 species